GACGAACGCUGGCAGCGUGCCUAAUACAUGCAAGUCGAGCGAAUGACGAGAAGCUUGCUUCUCUGAUUUAGCGGCGGACGGGUGAGUAACACGUGGGCAACCUGCCCUACAGAUUGGGAUAACUCAGGGAAACCUGGGCUAAUACCGGAUAAUCCUUCGAAUCACAUGUUUUGAAGUUGAAAGGCGCUUCGGCGUCACUGUAGGAUGGGCCCGCGGUGCAUUAGCUAGUUGGUGGGGUAACGGCCUACCAAGGCAACGAUGCAUAGCCGACCUGAGAGGGUGAUCGGCCACAUUGGGACUGAGACACGGCCCAAACUCCUACGGGAGGCAGCAGUAGGGAAUCUUCCACAAUGGACGAAAGUCUGAUGGAGCAACGCCGCGUGUGUGAUGAAGGUUUUCGGAUCGUAAAACUCUGUUGUAAGGGAAGAACAAGUACGUUAGGAAAUGAACGUACCUUGACGGUACCUUAUUAGAAAGCCACGGCUAACUACGUGCCAGCAGCCGCCGUAA
rnacentral:rRNA from 1 species